UUUCCCUUUUCUAUCUGGUUGCAUGCCUUCGUAGGAGGGGAGCAAACCCUAGUCGCCAUCUCCAAAGAUUGGAAAGAAGGGAGGCAUUCCCUUCUGAAGCAAAACCCUGGUGCCACCUCCUUUGUGUGAAGUUUGUUGGUGUUCUCAAGUUUUCAUGAUCUGAAAAAAGUACACAAUAAUUAAUAUCAGAGCCAGUUUGAGC
rnacentral:lncRNA from 1 species